rnacentral:sRNA from 1 species
GCAAGACCCUGCCAAGAAAAAAAAAAGACUGUGUCUCUUCACGUUCCACCAAUGUACUGAUAGCAUCUGUCUCUCUGCAUUCUCAAUAGCAUCAAAUAUUAUUACAGUGGGGGAAAAAACCUUUGAUAAUCUUGUUGGCAAAAAUGCACAUUUUUUGGAUUACUAGUGAGUUUAUUUAUUUUUAUUUUUAUUUUAUUUUAUUUUAUUUUUCGAGAUGGAGUCUCGCAGUGUCGCCCAGGUUGGAGUGCAGUGGCGCAAUCUCAGCUCAUUGCAACCUCCGCCUCCCAGGUUCAAGCGAUUCUCCUGCCUCAGCCUUCCGAGUAGCUAGGACUACAGGCACGUGCCACCACACCCGGCUAAUUUUUGUAUUUUUAGUAGAGACGGGGUUUCACUGUGUUGGCCAGGCUGGUCUUGAACUCCUGACCUUGUGAUCCUCCCACCUUGGCCUCCCAAAGUGCUGGGAUUACAGGCGUGAGCCACUGCGACUGGCCAGUGAGUUUAAAUAUUUAAUGAGUCUUGGCACUUUUUCCUUAUUGAGCUCUAUGAGCUUUUUCUGUAGAAGAUAUUAACUGUUGGAGCUUCAUGUUCUCAGGUACCCUAUCUUGAAUCUAUAGUGAACCUUUUGAAGUUGAAAAGAGUAUUUUUGUCUCAAUUAUAAAAUCUGUAUUGUUCCAUAAUCUUAAUUAAGCUGAUAAAACUUGUUUGUGCAUCUUUGUGCCCAUGUGGCAAUAGAUGGGGUUAGGGCUUGGUUUCAGUUUGCCUAGGGUUAAAGGAAGUUCACAUCCUUUGUGUUAUUGUCCAGUUUCCCAGCAUGCAGUCAGGUUAGCUCUGUGAGGGGUGCCUGGUCAUCUGUAAUUCAGACAUUAAGGAAGUACCUGGUGUGUGCUAGAAACAGAAUGCAGAGUUCGGGCCAGGGUGAGGAUUUCUGCCCUCAGGAAGAUCACAGCCUUUUGACAAAAGAGGAGGCACCAUUUGCCUAGUGGACAUCAGCCUCAACAAAAAAUCACCUGUUUUUCUCUGCAAGUCCCUGGAAGAGAUCAGUAGAUAAAAUCCAAAUCCCACACCUGUCCUCCAGAGAGAUGAUUAAUGUUAGUUACUGAGAAGGGAAACGGAUGAAAGGCGUAUGUGGCACAGGGGUCACCGCAGGAUGCAGCGGUCUUAGGGGGUGUGCCGUGAAAGGCCAGCUCUCUGUCAGUGGCUCUGCUCCUUUGUCGGAGCACCUGCCCCCAAGUCAGCUCCACUGCACUGUGCGCCGGAACCUGAGAAGUUGCUGAGUAGCCUAGGAGUGGCUCCAAGGAGCCUGGAAAGCAGUCCUCCUUUGAGGACCAUUCAAGGUGGAGUGUGACGUUUUGUCGAUUCUUGAAAGGGAAUUGGAAGGAAAGAGGAGGAGUAAAGGGAUGGGUGUAGGGCUGUGUGUACAGCAUUUUAUGUGUUUUCUGAUUUGUCUUCACAACUUUGAGACAAACUGUCACCCCCAGUUCACAGAUGAUGAAACAGAUUCAGAGUGACAGAAGGACCAAGAGAGUAUUCAAGACUGAACCCAAAUCUGCCUGUCCCAAAGCCAUGCUCUUCCAGGUCACACCUGUGCCUUGGUCUGUUUUUAUGUCAGGAUCUGUGCAGUGGGGCAUCUGGGUUUGAAUUUUUUUUUAAGUACUAUGAUUGUUGGAUAAAUUGUCAUAUGAGAUAGAAAUAAGGCCAUGCUGCAAAUUUCGAAAAUGUACAGCUUGAUAAAUGGGGGCAAACAUGAUCCAGGGUAAGAAGGGGCAAUUUGGUGACUUCACAAAAGAUACCAUUUAAUGAAAGUUUACUAGUUUUUUGUUUUUUUGUCUUCCAAAACAGGACACUCCUGGGUUUAUUGUGAACCGCCUCCUGGUUCCAUACCUCAUGGAAGCAAUCAGGCUGUAUGAACGAGGUAUCCUUCUGACCCAGGCCAGGAGCAGCAGGCCUCAGCUCCUGGCGCCACUGUCUGGAAUUCUCAGUGUCUCUAGGAGGGGUCGGGCCGUGCACAACGGAGGAAGCAGUGUCUGUUUUCUAGCUCUGUGAGCUCAGCUGCACCCUGGGCCCUGGUACCUUUUUCACUGUUUUCCCGGGGCCUCCUGGCUUCCCUGUGAGGCCUCUGAGAAAGGUUUCUGGAACUCCUACCACCCCCACUACAGUCCCAGCCAGAGCAAUUGCAUGGCCGUCCCAGAUUGAUAUCCUGGAUCUCUGCUUUUGAUUAAAAGGUGAUGCAUCCAAAGAGGACAUUGACACUGCUAUGAAAUUAGGAGCCGGUUACCCCAUGGGCCCAUUUGAGCUUCUAGAUUAUGUCGGACUGGAUACUACGAAGUUCAUCGUGGAUGGGUGGCAUGAAAUGGAUGCAGAGAACCCAUUACAUCAGCCCAGCCCAUGCUUGAAUAAGCUGGUAGCAGAGAACAAGUUCGGCAAGAAGACUGGAGAAGGAUUUUACAAAUACAAGUGAUGUGCAGCUUCUCCGGCUCUGAGAAGAACCCCUGAGAGCGCUUUCCAGCCAGUGCCCCGAGUGCCUGUGGGAAUGCUCUUUGGUCAGACAUUCCCUCACACAGCACAGUCUAAUAAAUGUGCAUUUUGAUUGUAAUCUAUUAAAGUGAUUAUUACACCAGUUACAGCAGUAAUAGAUUCUCCAUUAAGAACUAAUUCCCUUUUUUAGUCUGUUCAUUUCUGUGUAUUUUCUAAACAGCUUUACACCCUUGGUGCCUUGGAGCAAACAUGUUUUUUGAACCUUGUCAUUUUUAUGAAGAAUUGCCUGGAUUCGUUCUCUCAUCAAGGGGAAAGUACUUCCUCCGAGAGUGCGAGCGCACCAUGCUCACUGUUGCUGCGUGGGAGAGUCACAAGCCACUGGCAAGCACGUGGUAUAGUCUGUGAAGCACUGCAGCGAGCAGCACCUGGAUCUUGCCUUUGUAAGAACAUUUUACUAUCUGCAGCUUUGAGUCUUGCCCUACAUUUUGGGCAUGACAUAAGAUGUGUCUUUAUUCAGCUCGUCAUGAAGAUGCUGCUGCUGAAUGGGUCGGCAUAUCUGUAUGUGCAUGGUUUGCAGGAGGUCAGUUUUCAUGGUCAUCCAGUUCCACAGAUCUGAAUGAUUACUGUCUGUCUGUGUCUUUUUUCCAUGAGAAAUCACUUGCAAAUUGCCUAUAAAUUGACUCUACUAAAAUAACAAUGUUUCAGUCUGAAAAUUUGAAUUGAAAAAAAUGUAUAAUAUAAAAUUGUAAUAUACUUAAAUGAUUAUAAAAGUAAAA